UACGUAGGGUGCGAGCGUUAAUCGGAAUUACUGGGCGUAAAGCGUGCGCAGGCGGUUCGUUGUGUCGGUGGUGAAAGCCCCGGGCUCAACCUGGGAAUUGCAUUCGAGACUGCGUAGCUAGGGUGCGGAAGAGGGAAGCGGAAUUUCCGGUGUAGCGGUGAAAUGCGUAGAUAUCGGAAGGAACACCAGUGGCGAAAGCGGCUUCCUGGUCCAGCACCGACGUUCAGGCACGAAAGCGUGGGGAGCAAACAGG
rnacentral:rRNA from 1 species